GACGAACGCUGGCGGCGUGCCUAAUACAUGCAAGUAGAACGCUGAAGGAGGAGCUUGCUUCUCUGGAUGAGUUGCGAACGGGUGAGUAACGCGUAGGUAACCUGCCUGUUAGCGUGGGAUAACUAUUGGAAACGAUAGCUAAUACCGCAUAAGAGUAGAUGUUGCAUGACAUUUGCUUGAAAGUUGCAAUUGCAUCACUACCAGAUGGACCUGCGUUGUAUUAGCUAGUUGGUGGGGUAACGGCUCACUAAGGCGAGGGUACAUCGCGGACAUGAGAGGGGGGUCGGCCACACUUGGGCUGAGACACGGCCCAGACUCCUACGGGAGGCAGCAGUAGGGAAUCUUCGGCAAUGGAUGGAAGACUGACCGAGAAACGCCGCGUGAGUGAAGAAGGUUUUCGGAUCGUAAAGCUCUGUUGUAAGAGAAGAAAGAGGGUGAGAGUGGAAAGUUCACACUGUGACGGUAACUUACCAGAAAGGGACGGCUAACUACGUG
rnacentral:rRNA from 1 species